rnacentral:rRNA from 1 species
AGCGAACGCUGGCGGCAGGCCUAACACAUGCAAGUCGAACGAACCUUUCGGGGUUAGUGGCGGGCGGGUGAGUAACACGUGGGAACGUUCCUUUAGGUUCGGAAUAACUCAGGGAAACUUGUGCUAAUACCGAAUGUGCCCUUCGGGGGAAAGAUCUAUCGCCUUUAGAGCGGCCCGCGUCUGAUUAGCUAGUUGGUUGAGGUAAUGGCUCACCAAGGCGACGAUCAGUAGCUGGUCUGAGAGGAUGAUCAGCCACAUUGGGACUGAGACACGGCCCAAACUCCUACGGGAGGCAGCAGUGGGGAAUCUUGCGCAAUGGGCGAAAGCCUGACGCAGCCAUGCCGCGUGAAUGAUGAAGGUCUUAGGAUUGUAAAAUUCUUUCACCGGGGACGAUAAUGACGGUACCCGGAGAAGAAGCCCCGGCUAACUUCGUG